GCCUGGGUGGCUCAGUCGGUUAAGCAUCUGACUUCGGCUCAGGUCAUGAUCUCACGGUCUGUGAGUUCGAGCCCCGCGUCAGGCU
rnacentral:tRNA from 1 species